rnacentral:rRNA from 1 species
UACGAAGGGGGCUAGCGUUGCUCGGAAUUACUGGGCGUAAAGCGCACGUAGGCGGUUUCUUAAGUCGGGGGUGAAAUCCUGGAGCUCAACUCCAGAACUGCCUUCGAUACUGGGAAACUUGAGUUCGGGAGAGGUGAGUGGAACUGCGAGUGUAGAGGUGAAAUUCGUAGAUAUUCGCAAGAACACCAGUGGCGAAGGCGGCUCACUGGCCCGAUACUGACACUGAUGCAUGAAAGCGUGGGGAGCAAAC